GGGUUGUGAGGUUAAGCGAACAAGCGUACACGGUGGAUGCCCUGGCAGUCAGAGGCGAUGAAGGACGUGCUAAUCUGCGAAAAGCGCCGGUAAGGUGAUAUGAACCGUUAUAACCGGCGAUGUCCGAAUGGGGAAACCCGGUGCACUUCGGUGCAUCAUCGUUAGCUGAAUACAUAGGCUAACGAGGCGAACCGGGGGAACUGAAACAUCUAAGUACCCCGAGGAAAAGAAAUCAACCGAGAUUCCCCCAGUAGCGGCGAGCGAACGGGGAACAGCCCAGAGCCUGAAUCAGCUUGUGUGUCAGUGGAACGGUCUGGAAAGGCCGGCGAUACAGGGUGACAGCCCCGUACACGAAGGCACACAGGCUGUGAGCUCGAUGAGUAGGGCGGGACACGUGAUAUCCUGUCUGAAGAUGGGGGGACCAUCCUCCAAGGCUAAAUACUCCUGACUGACCGAUAGUGAACCAGUACCGUGAGGGAAAGGCGAAAAGAACCCCGGCGAGGGGAGUGAAACAGAACCUGAAACCGUGUACGUACAAGCAGUGGGAGCCUUCGUAAGAGGGUGACUGCGUACCUUUUGUAUAAUGGGUCAGCGACUUAUAUUCUGUAGCAAGGUUAACCGUAUAGGGGAGCCGAAGGGAAACCGAGUCUUAAUUGGGCGUUAAGUUGCAGGGUAUAGACCCGAAACCCGGUGAUCUAGCCAUGGGCAGGUUGAAGGUUGGGUAACACUAACUGGAGGACCGAACCGACUAAUGUUGAAAAAUUAGCGGAUGACCUGUGGCUGGGGGUGAAAGGCCAAUCAAACCGGGAGAUAGCUGGUUCUCCCCGAAAGCUAUUUAGGUAGCGCCUCGUGAACUCAUCUCCGGGGGUAGAGCACUGUUUCGGCUAGGGGGCCAUCCCGGCUUACCAACCCGAUGCAAACUGCGAAUACCGGAGAAUGUUAUCACGGGAGACACACGGCGGGUGCUAACGUCCGUCGUGAAGAGGGAAACAACCCAGACCGCCAGCUAAGGUCCCAAAGUCAUGGUUAAGUGGGAAACGAUGUGGGAAGGCCCAGACAGCCAGGAUGUUGGCUUAGAAGCAGCCAUCAUUUAAAGAAAGCGUAAUAGCUCACUGGUCGAGUCGGCCUGCGCGGAAGAUGUAACGGGGCUAAACCAUGCACCGAAGCUGCGGCAGCGACACUCUGUGUUGUUGGGUAGGGGAGCGUUCUGUAAGCCUGUGAAGGUGUGCUGUGAGGCAUGCUGGAGGUAUCAGAAGUGCGAAUGCUGACAUAAGUAACGAUAAAGCGGGUGAAAAGCCCGCUCGCCGGAAGACCAAGGGUUCCUGUCCAACGUUAAUCGGGGCAGGGUGAGUCGACCCCUAAGGCGAGGCCGAAAGGCGUAGUCGAUGGGAAACAGGUUAAUAUUCCUGUACUUGGUGUUACUGCGAAGGGGGGACGGAGAAGGCUAUGUCGGCCGGGCGACGGUUGUCCCGGUUUAAGCGUGUAGGCUGACUUUCCAGGCAAAUCCGGAAAGUUAAGGCUGAGGCGUGAUGACGAGGCACCACGGUGCUGAAGUGACAAAUGCCCUGCUUCCAGGAAAAGCCUCUAAGCAUCAGGUAACAUCAAAUCGUACCCCAAACCGACACAGGUGGUCAGGUAGAGAAUACCAAGGCGCUUGAGAGAACUCGGGUGAAGGAACUAGGCAAAAUGGUGCCGUAACUUCGGGAGAAGGCACGCUGACAUGUAGGUGAAGCCCCUGCGGGUGGAGCUGAAGUCAGUCGAAGAUACCAGCUGGCUGCAACUGUUUAUUAAAAACACAGCACUGUGCAAACACGAAAGUGGACGUAUACGGUGUGACGCCUGCCCGGUGCCGGAAGGUUAAUUGAUGGGGUUAUCGCAAGAGAAGCUCCUGAUCGAAGCCCCGGUAAACGGCGGCCGUAACUAUAACGGUCCUAAGGUAGCGAAAUUCCUUGUCGGGUAAGUUCCGACCUGCACGAAUGGCGUAAUGAUGGCCAGGCUGUCUCCACCCGAGACUCAGUGAAAUUGAACUCGCUGUGAAGAUGCAGUGUACCCGCGGCAAGACGGAAAGACCCCGUGAACCUUUACUACAGCUUGACACUGAACAUUGAGCCUUGAUGUGUAGGAUAGGUGGGAGGCUUUGAAGCGUGGACGCCAGUCUGCGUGGAGCCGACCUUGAAAUACCACCCUUUAAUGUUUGAUGUUCUAACCUGGCGCCGUGAUCCGGCGUGGGGACAGUGUCUGGUGGGUAGUUUGACUGGGGCGGUCUCCUCCCAAAGUGUAACGGAGGAGCACGAAGGUCAGCUAAUCCUGGUCGGACAUCAGGAGGUUAGUGCAAUGGCAUAAGCUGGCUUGACUGCGAGAGUGACGGCUCGAGCAGGUGCGAAAGCAGGUCAUAGUGAUCCGGUGGUUCUGUAUGGAAGGGCCAUCGCUCAACGGAUAAAAGGUACUCCGGGGAUAACAGGCUGAUACCGCCCAAGAGUUCAUAUCGACGGCGGUGUUUGGCACCUCGAUGUCGGCUCAUCACAUCCUGGGGCUGAAGUAGGUCCCAAGGGUAUGGCUGUUCGCCAUUUAAAGUGGUACGCGAGCUGGGUUUAGAACGUCGUGAGACAGUUCGGUCCCUAUCUGCCGUGGGCGCUGGAGAAUUGAGGGGGGCUGCUCCCAGUACGAGAGGACCGGAGUGGACGCAUCACUGGUGUUCGGGUUGUCAUGCCAAUGGCACUGCCCGGUAGCUAAAUGCGGAAGAGAUAAGUGCUGAAAGCAUCUAAGCACGAAACUUGCCCCGAGAUGAGUUCUCCCUGAGACUAUAAGUCUCCUGAAGGAACGUUGAAGACGACGACGUUGAUAGGCCGGGUGUGUAAGCGCAGCGAUGCGUUGAGCUAACCGGUACUAAUGAACCGUGAGGCUUAACCUUACAACGCCAAAGAAGU
rnacentral:rRNA from 1 species